rnacentral:rRNA from 1 species
CUGCUGCCUCCCGUAGGAGUCUGGUCCGUGUCUCAGUACCAGUGUGGGGGACCUUCCUCUCAGAACCCCUACGCAUCGUCGCCUCGGUGGGCCGUUACCCCGCCGACUAGCUAAUGCGACGCAUGGCCAUCCUAUGCCGGAGUCGCCUCCUUUGACCAUCUGGAGAUGUCUCCAAAUGGUGUUAUGCGGUAUUAGACGGAAUUUCUUCCGCUUAUCCCCCUGCAUAGGGCAGGUUCCAUACGUGUUACUCACCCG